GGGAUCGGGAAUCAGUACUGGAAAUUCAGUAAUAAAUACGUGCCUUUAAAAAGCAGAUGCUUUGUAAUUUAAAAAUCAAAGAGAAAGUGACAAAAGUUGCUAUUAAUGCACAACUAAUGGAACAAAGAAAGUAAGGCUGGAAGCAGAUGCAUCGUGUGCUUGGCAGGAACAAACGUGCACGACAAAAGGGAAAUACAUUACUCUUCAGUGUUCCAGAUGUCUUGUUAUGUUCUGUGACCAUCAAAGGAAAAAGGCUACUACUUUCAAAUGGUACAUAAAUUCAGGAGUCUUUAUUUUGAAAAAAUUAUUCCAACAAUGUUUCACAAUGAACAAUAAAUCAAAUAUAUCUACCAUAUAUUUGAAAUGAAAAUUGAAAUCAACCUGUUUUUGCCUAAUACCUAAGACCACCUCUUGCAAUUAAGACUGGUCUUCAUAAAUCUUGUCAUAUCAAAACAUCUUCCAAGAUAUGCCCUGCUGACUAAAACGGCCUCGCUCUUUCUUUCAGAUUUCUCAGUUAUCUCAUUCCCUAUUCUUAGCCUUAAGUGCUGAUAUUAUUUCUCAUAAACUAUUCCAGAAACCAAGACUUGUCCUUGACUAAUGAUAAACACAAAUAAAGAAAUUCUUGACUCUAUAAUCUUGUGAGGAAUGAGAACUGGAACUUUCAGUUAUUACCCAAGUCUUUUCUAAGGCAAAGGGAGUUAAUUUUGGAGAAGUAAUAAAUAAAACAUGUGGUUGUGCCAAAAGAUUUUGCCAAAUUAAAUUCUAUGUUCUCAUCUCAAAAAUAAGUUAUAUUCUAAGCUAAUGUAGAUAAGGAAAGGCAUAAUACCAACAAGUAGUAAUAGAAAAUAGUCCCAAACCUUGAACGUUUAGAAAUGUCAAGGGUCACGGAAAAAUUAAAAUUAAGGUGCUAAAUAGAUGUGAACUUGCACAAUUUUCAGUGAACUAACUGAAGGCCUUCACAGUUCAAUUAAAAAGUAUGAGAUUUUUCAAACAUCUUAAGACAGUCAUACAGAAUCUGCAGGUGAGAUUCAAAAUUGAAUGACGUCUAUUUUAUUGAGUUUAGAGUCAGGCAGAUUCAUGACUAACCUUCAUAUAUGCAUAAGGAUAUUCUCAUUUUAACAAUGUUUUUUAAGUAGAAAAACUCUAUAAACAAAUAUUCUUCAAAAGGGGCAUCCAUAUAAUGAAAUCUUGGAGCUCCAAAGAGAUAAUGAAUUAGAGCUGGAUGUGGUAAUAUGGAAAAAUAACCAAGUUAAACAGAGAAUCAAGUUAUAAAACCAUACAUUUAGAACAACAGAGGACAGCAAGUGGCAUAUAUAUAGAGAGAAAGAAGUAUAUAAUAAAUGAUAACAUUUCUGAAAGACUACAAAAACACAAGUAACUGUAUUUCCCUGGGAUGUGGGAAGAGAGUCACAGGAAGGAGACACACUUUUCCACUUUAUACCCCUUUGUAUAUUGCGUAAUUUUUAAACAUCAUAAACAUGUCUUAUAUUUUGGUAACAUAUAAAAAACCUUUAAAGUCUUUAAAAAACCUGAUUGUACCCACAGCAUUCUAUGAAACACUGGGUAACAUUAAUUCACAAUCCUUUCAUGCCUUUUACUUAACGAUUAUUUAGUCAAAAUUAGAAGGCUUCUGGGUUGUUUGCUUUCUCUGUCCCUCAAGAUUGAGGAAAAGGUGAGAAGUUUUAAGUCUCACUGGUUAAACUGUAAUUUGGAUAAUAUCUAUUUAAGAUUCCAGAGAACCAAUUAAGAAACUAACCAAUGAACAUCUGAAUCACCAAUUAAAAUAUUUUAUCUAGGAUCACUUUUCCUGGUUACAAAAGCCUGAAUCUUUAAACUCCAUAGCCCUGUGAGUUCAACGACCCUAGAUUUCAAAAAUAUAGUUAAGCAUGUUGAAUCUUCCUCCAUUAGCAUAAAAUAAGCAAAAUACAUAGAGGCUAUCGAGUUUGAAAGGAAAUACAUUUUUGGCAAGUCUUCACCAGAAAAUAGCAUCAUAAAUUCAAAUCCUACAGAACUGACUCCAAAAUCAGAACAGUUAACAGCUGGCAUAAGAGGAUCCCUUUUAUGUCUACUCAGAAUUUGCCAAUUCAAAGGCCUUAAAACGUUUUUGAACGUUUGAGGCUCAGAAAAUUUAUAGUAGUAGGCUAGUGGCCACCUUGAGAGUACGAACACCCUUCAAACUACACAGAAUUCAAGUUUUUAAAACACGGUGAUGGUCAAACAAAACACAACUGCAGAGAGAAUUCAGAGUAAAUGCCAUAAAUGUGCAACCUCUACAUUAGAACAAUAAUUGGACUUUUUAAACCAGGGUUUUCACAACACUUGGGGGUCUUUCCAGAUUAAAUACUUCAGUGCCCACUACACUUCUAGAAGUAAUUAAUUACUAUGUUUAGUCGUUCAGUUGUGUCCAACUCUUUGUGAUCCCAUGGACUGUGGAUGGCCAGACUCCUCUAUCCACAGGAUUCUCUAGGCAAGAAUGCUGGAGUGGGUUGCCAUGCCCUUCUCCCACGUUGCGGGCAGACUCUUUACUGUCUGAGCCACCAGGAAAGCCCUAAGUAAACUAGUGUUCAAAUGCUUACUGAAUUAACAACACAGAAGGCUCUUCAAAUACUACAUACAAUCACCUAAUAACCAAUAAAUUUAAUGAACUGGGUUGUGGAAUUACCCAUCUGUGCCCUGCUGGAGCUGGCCUGCAAAGUGAGGCUGAUGUGUCUAACUCCAAGUUUAAUUAAAUUAACAUCAGACUGGUAGCUGAAAUCAGCCAUGGUGAGAGUAUUAAUAUCACAUGUAUCAGUAAGCACUACAGAACAGGACACUUUUUCAUGAGAGAGAAGCAUUCACCAGCACAACAUAUGACCAGCACAUCUUGGUCGUAUAUUCAAUUGUUCAAAUAUACCACAUAAAAUUUUUAAUGAAUGACAUGUUUUAAAAUAUACAAGGCAAAAGUUAACUAAUGAAUAUAAAUUCAAUACAAUAACACAUUUUAGUAACAGCACCCUUUCAAAAGUAAUUUUACUACUGUUUAGGGCACAGACUUAAUAGUUGGAAUGUUUCUCAAAACAGGAGUUAUUGUGAUACUUCAAAUGUCUCUUAAUUUUAAAACCUGACCCACUAUUUACCCCCAUGAAUUUACUUGUAAAGUUUAAAUAAAACCCUAGAGAAUAAACUACUGAUUUCAGCAAAUUAUGAAUGGAAUCAAAAUUAAAAAUGAUUUUUAUUAGGUAUAUAAGAUAUAGAAAGAGAUUCUCUUAGAAUUUCAUACGAUUUUUAAAAAAUCUGCUUACACAUAAAUGUGAGAGCAUCUUAAUCCAGCAAUAAAACACCUGCUCCCCAGAGCAAAAGCCCUGUCAUUAGCCAAAUGCCUUGCUUCUUUCAUCCUUAGUAUGAGCCCACUUUACGGACCAUAUGAGAUAAUACAUGAAAAGCAUUUAGCAAGUUUCUGAUACACUAAAAGAGCUUAAUAAACCACACUCUGUAAUACCGUCACCAUUAUUACUUUCAAGUCAUAUCUUUAAAGAAAUAUAUCUUUAUAAGGUCCCGUAGAGAUUAACUUUCUGAUAUAAAUCUGAGACUGCAAGUGGAGGCCAAAGAUGAGGUGAGUCACUCUGAAUGUGAGUUUGGAGCAGGAGCACAAACAUGAACAAAGAGGUGACUGACUAUGUAUCAUAAACUACCUUUUACAAAGUCACAAUGUCUUCAAAAGAAUUUAAAAACAUUCUGUUUAAAUGAGAAACAACAAGUGUUCUUUCUAAAAAUGGACAAGUAUAAAAAACCACUGGGGGAAAAACCCAGAGCAAACUUCUUUCUUAAGUAAAUACAUCAUUCCUUUAACUGUAGCCGACGUCUUGGAAGGUAAUGAUUUUUGUUAGAGAAAUCCUAUUUUCAUUCCUAUAUAUGUAUAUAUAUACACACACAUACAUACACAAAGUUAAAAUUCUUUGUUAACUAUAAACACAGUAGAGAUAAGAAAUUAUUCUUCAUUUUUGAACUUUCUUUAGCAAGGUGUAAUUUUAAAAUAGCUAUCUGACACUCUACCAAAAGAAUACCACAAUUUCAAAGUGGUCAAAAGAAUAAAUAAUUCUAAUAUAAGUACUAAUAUCCAAGAGCCACAACUUGGAAUAUUCCUUUUAAAAAUGAGAUAUUCACCAAUUUCAUUAUUACUGAAAUACAUUCAAAUAAAAAUCAAAGGAAGAAAAUCCAGAAAACAACAUUUAAAAAGUUUGCCAUUUCAACUGAAAUUUAAA
ensembl:lncRNA